GAGUAAUCUGCCCUCUACUUGGGGAUAACCUCCGGAAACGGUGGCUAAUACCCGAUAUGACCAACUUCUGCAUGGUUGUUGGUGGAAAGUUUUUUCGGUAGGGGAUGUGCUCGCGGCCUAUCAGCUUGUUGGUGGGGUAAUGGCCUACCAAGGCUUCGACGGGUAGCCGGCCUGAGAGGGUGACCGGCCACACUGGGACUGAGACACGGCCCAGACUCCUACGGGAGGCAGCAGUGGGGAAUAUUGGACAAUGGGCGGAAGCCUGAUCCAGCAACGCCGCGUGAGGGAUGACGGCCUUCGGGUUGUAAACCUCUUUCAGUAGGGACGAAGCGCAAGUGACGGUACCUACAGAAGAAGCACCGGCCAACUACGUGCCAGCAGCCGCGGUAAUACGUAGGGUGCGAGCGUUGUCCGGAAUUAUUGGGCGUAAAGGGCUCGUAGGCGGUUUGUCGCGUCGGGAGUGAAAACCAUGGGCUUAACUCAUGGCUUGCUUCCGAUACGGGCAGACUAGAGGUAUGCAGGGGAGAACGGAAUUCCUGGU
rnacentral:rRNA from 1 species